rnacentral:rRNA from 1 species
UACAGAGGGUGCAAACGUUGCUCGGAAUCAUUGGGCGUAAAGCGCACGUAGGCGGUUUGUUAUGUCGGAUGUGAAAGCCCUUGGCUCAACUGAGGAAGUGCAUCCGAAACUGGCAAGCUAGAGUACUAAAAGAGGAUCGCGGAAUUCCCGGUGUAGAGGUGAAAUUCGUAGAUAUGGGGGAGGAACACCGGUGGCGAAGGCGGCCACCUGGACGGUCACUGACGCUGAGACGCGAAAGCGUGGGGAGCAAACAGG